UACGUAGGCAGCGAGCGUUGUUCGGAAUUACUGGGCGUAAGGAGUGUGUAGGCGGUGCUCUAAGUUCGGUGUGAAAUCUCCUGGCUUAACUGGGAGGGUGCGCCGGAAACUGGAGUGCUUGAGCGUGGGAGAGGAAAGCGGAAUUCCUGGUGUAGCGGUGAAAUGCGUAGAUAUCAGGAGGAACACCUGUGGUGUAGACGGCUUUCUGGACCAUUGCUGACGCUGAGACACGAAAGCGUGGGUAGCAAACAGG
rnacentral:rRNA from 1 species